CCGGUGCAGAUAUUUAUGAAAAGUUGUUUUCUUAAAACUUCAAGAUAGCUGUCAAGAAACCGAAGGGCUCAGUGGAAGAAUUACAUAGUUUAUAGCAUGGUUGAUUGAAUGCUGGAUCUUCAGUUGGCAUAGGAGGAUCCUGACCAAAUAUCAUCUCGCAACUCAUAUCAUCAAAAUCUGCAUAGUCAGAUGGCAUAGAACUAUUAUUAAGGUGCACUAAUGGAUGGGUUCUAAUCAUGAUUCAUCAUAUGUUAAUGCAGAAUGCUAACACUGCUUUUCUGUGCUUAAUUUAUGAUUGGCACUUGAGAAUGUGGAUGAUGCUUGUGGUCAUAUCAACUAAGCUGUAGGUUACACGAUAAUGAUUGGUUUCGUGAAGAAUAUCAGUGUCUUGCGUAUAACAUGGUGGACUAGUUGGCACUAAACAUAGAAGCAUCCAUGUUUGAUUUACGGCCAAGAUUUGUUACUGUCCAUUUGCCACAUAUAAUUUAUAUUUGCAGUUUCAAGCUCUUUGCAGGAAUUCUCACCUCAGAUUGGAUGGGUCUACAUGUGGUUUUGUGCCCCAAGUGGUUAUGCUUGGGCCCUCCAUUUACAUCAUGAGCAUGGCCUCCACAUUCUCUAGUGCAGGUACUAUAGUAUGAUUUCUUUUUCUUUUGUUUUUAUAAGUUACUAUAAGAGGAAAUGGAGAAUAGUUUUUGGUAUUACUAUUAGUGCAGAUUAUACACCCUUUCUCUCAUCAAUAUAUCAAAUUUUAGACAUGGCUUGAUAAAGUAAUAUUCCCUUUUUUUUUUCUUCUAUUAAUCUACAGUUUCUUAAGAUUGUCUAACAAACAAGAUGGUUGAUAAAGUGAUCUCCAUUAGCAGUGUAAAUGCUAUAAAAAAUCAAGGGUUAGUGAAUGAGUUUACUUACUAGGAACCAUGUUGACUGGCAUUCCCAGAGAGUGCUUAAUAAAGGUUUGACUAGGAACCUUACAGAGAUUAGUACACAUCCCAACACAAUUAGUCUCUUCUAAAAACCUGCAAGAUCAUAAAAUAGUAAUAGUAAUAAAAAAGAAAAGGGGAUUAGCACUAGUUGUAUUAAAAAUUUUGAUGAUUAUUUGAUAAUGAUGGUGAUUAUUACCAUUAUGCUGGCCAUAAUGUUAAAUGGAGAAAAUAGUAACACUCAUCGGAGCAGAUUGGUUUCAGAAAUGAAAAGUGUCUUAGGUUGGUGAAAUGGGACCCCAUUAAACAGUUGUAAAUUAAAAUUGGAGAGGGAAGUUAAAGUUACCUGCACUUUUCUAUAUGGACUACAUUCUUUUCUUUUCUUCCAUUGAGCUCUGAUUCCCGCACCUUGUUUGUCAAGUGAUCAAGAGCAGUCAGUCCUGGUAAUAUCCAUUUUAUGCAGCAUCUUUUUUAGCAAAUUAUUAUUAUUAUUAUUAUUAUUAUUGUCAUUAUUAUUAUUAUUAUUAUCUGCGCCUGUUUGCUAUCUGACAAAAGAUAUGAGAAAGUUUUGUGAUUGAGGGACUCUUUGAUGUCCUAUUAUUGAUCUGAUUUGAAUAUCAUCCCAUCCCCUUUAAAGGGUCUUGGAAGUAAUAUCAGAAAUCUUGGAAGAGAGAUUUGUGCAUACCUCGCAUGGCCCAAUUAGCCAGACGAAAAACAAGGUGGUGAAAGCUGCAAAAUACUCUCUUGCAAAUUGAGAUUGGGGCAUCACUGCCUUUAUCUGCAAUCAACAACGGGAAAUUCAUAUCAGUUUUGUUUGAAAAAAUUAACUGGAUGGAAUUCUUAAAACUCUUGAUUCUAAGCAUGAUGUAACUGUGAAAUGAACUUCAAAAGCACUGCCUAUAAAUGGAAUGAUUAUGUAUAGACAUAGAUGGCCUUUGAAAACUUAUAUAAAGCAAUUGAGACC